GCGGGGACGAGAAGCAGCGCUCGGGCGAGCGAGGACGGCGGCCAGCGCGGGCGGGCGCGGCCUUUGUCUCCUCCUCCCGCGCGCUCGGCGGCGGCACCGGCCCCAUGAGCCCGCGGCCCCCCGUCGCCCGGGCCGUCCGUAGCCCCUGACCUGACCUGUCCUCGCCAUGGCCGAGGCCGCCUCCGGCGCCGCGGGCACGUCCCUGGAGGGCGAGCGUGGCAAGAGGCCCCCGCCGGAGGGCGAGCCUGCAGCCCCGGCGUCCGGAGUUCUGGAUAAGCUUUUCGGGAAGCGGCUCCUGCAGGCGGGUCGCUACCUGGUGUCCCACAAGGCGUGGAUGAAGACGGUGCCUACAGAGAAUUGCGACGUGCUGAUGACCUUCCCAGACACGACCGAUGACCACACGCUGCUAUGGCUGCUGAACCACAUCCGCGUGGGCAUCCCCGAGCUCAUCGUGCAAGUCCGCCACCACCGCCACACGCGUGCCUACGCCUUCUUUGUCACCGCCACGUAUGAGAGCCUACUCCGAGGGGCCGACGAGCUGGGUCUCCGCAAGGCAGUGAAGGCCGAGUUUGGCGGGGGCACCCGCGGCUUCUCCUGCGAAGAGGACUUUAUCUAUGAGAAUGUGGAGAGCGAGCUGCGCUUCUUCACCUCCCAGGAACGCCAGAGCAUCAUCCGCUACUGGCUGCAGAAUUUGCGUGCCAAGCAAGGAGAGGCGCUCCACAACGUGCGCUUCCUGGAGGACCAGCCAAUCAUCCCCGAGCUGGCAGCACGUGGGAUCAUCCAGCAGGUGUUCCCUGUCCACGAGCAGCGUAUUCUGAACCGCCUCAUGAAGUCAUGGGUGCAGGCCGUGUGCGAAAACCAGCCUCUAGAUGACAUCUGUGAUUACUUUGGCGUGAAAAUUGCCAUGUACUUCGCCUGGCUGGGCUUCUACACAUCGGCUAUGGUAUACCCAGCUGUCUUCGGGUCUGUCCUGUACACAUUCACAGAGGCUGAUCAGACAAGCCGGGAUGUUUCCUGCGUGGUCUUUGCCCUCUUCAAUGUGAUCUGGUCGACGCUGUUCCUAGAAGAAUGGAAGCGGAGAGGGGCUGAGCUGGCAUACAAGUGGGGGACGCUGGACUCACCUGGGGAAGCCGUGGAGGAGCCACGCCCCCAGUUCAGGGGCGUGCGACGUAUCAGCCCCAUCACGCGGGCCGAGGAGUUCUACUACCCGCCUUGGAAGCGGCUACUCUUCCAGCUGCUUGUGAGCCUCCCCCUGUGCCUGGCGUGCCUCGUCUGUGUCUUCUUGCUCAUGCUUGGCUGCUUCCAGCUGCAGGAGCUGGUGCUGAGCGUGAAGGGGUUGCCCCGUCUCGCCCGAUUCCUGCCUAAGGUCAUGCUGGCCUUGCUUGUCAGUGUGAGUGCCGAGGGCUACAAGAAGCUAGCCAUCUGGCUCAAUGACAUGGAAAAUUACCGGCUGGAGAGCGCCUAUGAGAAGCACCUCAUCAUCAAAGUUGUCCUGUUCCAGUUUGUCAACUCGUACCUGAGCCUCUUCUACAUCGGUUUCUACCUCAAGGACAUGGAGCGCUUGAAAGAGAUGCUGGCCACGCUGCUGAUCACCCGCCAGUUCCUCCAGAACGUGCGCGAGGUCCUGCAGCCGCACCUGUACCGGCGCCUGGGCCGCGGCGAGCUGGGCCUGCGGGCCGUCUGGGAGCUGGCCCGAGCCCUGCUUGGCCUCCUGGGCCUCCGGCGCCCUGCGCCCCGCCGCCUCGAACCACAGGCGGAUGAGGGCGGGGGCGGCGGCAGCGGGGGCGGGGGCCGCAGGUGCCUCAGCGGGGGCUGCGGGGCGCCGGAGGAGGAGGAGGAGGCGGCGGCGCUGGUGGAGCGGCGGCGGGCGGGGGAAGGCGGGGAGGAGGGGGACGGGCCUCCAGGGGGCAAGGAGGAAGACGAGGACGACGAGGAGGAGGAGGACGAGGAGGAAGAGGAGGACGAGGAGGAGGGCGAGGAAGGGGGCCUCCUGGACUGCGGGCUCCGGCUGAAGAAGGUCAGCUUCGCUGAGCGUGGCGCGGGGCGGCGUCGGCCCGGCCCAAGCCCGGAGGCCCUCCUGGAGGAGGGGAGCCCCACAAUGGUGGAGAAGGGGCUGGAGACGGGAGUGUUCACCCUGGCCGAGGAGGACGACGAGGCGGAGGGGGCUCCCGGCAGCCCUGAACGGGAGCCCCCGGCCAUCUUGCUCCGCCGGGCCGGGGGCGAGGGCCGAGACCAGGGGCCCGACGGGGGCCCGGACCUGGAGCCCGGCUCCAACAGCGAUUCGACCCGUAGGCAGAGACGGCAGAACCGAUCGUCUUGGAUUGAUCCGCCGGAGGAGGAACACUCGCCCCAGCUCACCCAGGCGGAGCUGGAGAGCUGUAUGAAGAAGUACGAGGACACGUUCCAGGACUACCAGGAGAUGUUCGUGCAGUUCGGCUACGUCGUGCUAUUCUCGUCCGCCUUCCCCCUGGCGGCGCUGUGCGCCCUGGUCAACAACCUCAUUGAGAUCCGCAGCGACGCCUUCAAGCUGUGCACCGGGCUGCAGCGGCCCUUCGGCCAGCGCGUGGAAAGCAUCGGCCAGUGGCAGAAGGUGAUGGAGGCCAUGGGUGUCCUAGCGAUUGUGGUCAACUGCUACUUAAUCGGCCAGUGCGGGCAGCUGCAGCGCCUCUUCCCCUGGCUGAGCCCGGAGGCAGCCAUCGUGUCCGUGGUAGUGCUCGAGCACUUCGCUCUGCUCCUCAAGUACCUCAUCCACGUGGCCAUCCCCGAUAUCCCGGGCUGGGUGGCCGAGGAAAUGGCCAAGCUGGAGUACCAGCGCCGCGAGGCCUUUAAGAGAGCCCUGGCUUGCACCAAUCUCAGCUGGCACCCGCUAACACCCUUUCUUCUUAGUCCUGUAACGGCUUGGCUCUACCUGCAGAGACACGAGCGCCAGGCCCAGCAUCGCUACCAGCAGCAGCAGCGCAGGCGGCGGGAGGAGGAGGAGCGACAGCGCCAUGCAGAGCACCAUGCCCGGCGGGAGCAUGAUUCUGGUGGCCGGGAGGAGACGAGGGCCGAGGGCUCUGGGCUGGACCCUGCCACCUCCUCCGAGAAGGCCUCUGCCAAGGCCAAGGGCAGCACUGCGGGUGGCCACGGGCCUGAACGGCCCAAGCGCCCAGGGUCCCUGCUGGCACCCAACAACGUCAUGAAGUUGAAGCAGAUCAUCCCACUGCAGGGCAAAUUCCUCUCGUCAGGGGCCACAUCCUCACUGGCUGCUGCAGGGGCCGGAGCCACCACCCGGCCUCCCCCUGCCCACUCACCUACGGGCAGCGACACCCGCCUGCCUGCCUUCCUCAGCUUCAAGUUCCUCAAGUCACCCGAGACCCGGCGGGACUCUGAGCGCAGCCACUCACCGCCCAAAGCCUUCCACGCUGGCAAGCUCUUCCCCUUUGGUGGCACCCGGGCUGAGCCCGGGUCCAACGGGGCGGGCGGGCAGGCCCGGCCAGACGGGACCCCCAGCAGUGGCGGCAGCCGGGUUCAGAGGAGUGGGCCGGUGGACGAGGCCCUGGCUGAGGAGCUGGAAGCCCCCCGGCCCGAAGAGGAAGGCUCAGGUCACAAGCUUUAACUCGGGGGUGGGGACGCCGGGCCGGCUUUGGGGAUAGGGUAGGGUGGCCAGGCCUGGGGAGAGGGGCUGAAGGGGACAGGGGAAGCCCGGUCUUGGGUCCUGGUGGGGACCAGGUACGUGGUAGGUGGAGCCUCUCAGUUAAAGCCUGCUUAGUAUCUCCAGGGCCUGUUAGCCUGGAGCCCCGUGCCUGACCCUCCCCAGGGAGGGAUGCCAAAGCCCCUUGUCCCAGGACUGCACCCAGGGACCCCCCGACCAUGCUCCGGUGCCAGGAGAGAUGAGGGAGGCCUGUUUCCCAACCAGCCCACCCUUCUCCUGCUCCAGCUCACUCUUGGGGGGCACUUGACCCCCCAGGCCUCUAUGCAAAUCCACACCCUGCGGCCCAGCUGUUCAGGAAGGCCUUCCUCAAGGUGGGGCUGGGGCUGCCCACCCAGGGAGCUCCCACAUGUGCUGAGCAGAGGUGCAGGCCUCACCCCUACCCUCUCACCCCUACCCUCCCACCCCCACCACCUCCCCUGCCCCAAUCCCAGCCUGGGCUCCAGCAACCCCAUCCCCAGGGAGCCCAACAGGUGGCAGCUGCAGCACAAGGGCCAUAGGUCAGAAGCCAGAGGGACUUCCUCAAACUGUCCUCCCCCUGUGACCGGCAGGGGCCGUGCCCAGAGGCAGGGGACAGCGCUGGCCCCCGUGGGCGCCCCUGCCCUCCGCACCCGCCGCAGCCGGAGCCCCGCGCCGCCGCCGCCAAUGCCGCUGCCCCGGCCCCCCACACCGCCCGCCGGCUGCUGGCAGUGGGACGGGCC